CCCAAAACAAAACCUGAGAUGCAACCAACCUGCAGCUGCUCUGUUGGCCUUCUCCAGAUUGAAACUGAGCGUAUGAGCUCACAAAGGAAGGAAACAGCUCUGUAUGUAUGUAUGUAUACAAAUCAGCCGCUUCCUCAGGCUGACCACUUUGGCAGUGCAGCGAGCCUGAAGCUCCGGAGGACUAAAGAGGAGGUCUGCGUCCAGUAAGGGGAAGGGUUACAGAGCAGAGGAGGAGGAGACAGGAACAAAAAAGAAGACAGUGAAGCAGAGAGAGAGAGACAGAUAGAAGAGGACCAGUGACAGAGAUACAGAUGAUCACAGACUGCUGCUGUUCAAAGAUGGAUUUAACUUCGCUUCAAGCUCUGGAGAGAGAAAGAGUCCUGGAGGUUCUGCGGAGAGACAAACAGCUGCGUACCAUUGAAGAGGACAGGAUAAGGAGGAUGAAACAUGAUCUCCAGGAGCUUCGAAGGAGAGGUGCGAAGAGUUUCGCCCGGCAGUACGGCGAGAGGACCUGCGCCCGCUGCCAGAGGCCGCUGGGAAAGUUCUGGAACUCGGGCGAAGUCUGCAGCGGCUGCAGCCACCGCAUCUGCAGCAAGUGCCGCGUGGGAGCGGCGGACUGGAAGUGCACGGUCUGCUACGCCUACAGGGAGGUGAAGUUCAGGUCUGGAGAAUGGUUCCUGGAGGAGAAGGCCAAGAAAUUUCCAGUCACCACAGACAAAUAUGAGAUGGUUGGUGAGAAACUAUUAAAGAGCUACAACGUGCUGAGCGAUAUAUCAGUUGUGCCUCCCACUCCUCCACCCUACUUAUUAUCAGAUUAUCAGUUUCUGAGCAGAUCUGGGGAUUUGAAAAACUCAAAACCGUUUACCAAGUCUAUGGAGGAUCUAAUGGUUUCCUUCACCAGUCAUAUUAAAAAGAUUUCCACUUCUCAGAACGAUGUGCGAGGAGACCUGCUGAGAGUCGACAGCAGCCAGAGAGAGACGUGCUCCCACUACACCCAAAUGAGCCUCUCUGACACUGACAUCAACAAAACUAGCACGCUCUUUAAAGGCCCCAGUCUUCCAAACCUGUUCAAGAAAAGCAAAGACAGCGACCUGGAAGGCUCCUCCACCGGGGCGGAAGAAGAAACUUCAUGCGGUUCUGAGUACUCUGGAGGAAAGCGAGGCAGCAGCAGCAGCAUGAUGAGCUUAGACUGCGGCCUCAUCGAGAGCAUCGUCGUAGCAGGAGAGCUGGAGCUGGCUCUGGCCUACAACACACACACCUCCAGGCUGGAGAUCACAGUCGGCACCUGCAGAAAUCUCUCCUACGGAGACACCAAGAGGAAGAAGUGUCGCCCGUACGUCAAACUCUACGUGCUGCCGGGAAAUAGCAGCAAAAUGAAGACGACAGUCAAGAAAAACACAACUGAUCCGGUUUAUAAUGAAGUUUUCAAGUAUCCACAUAGAGCGCCACCUGCUGUUUGGAAAGAGACUGCGGGCCUCUGUGUGGCAUUCAGGAACCCUGAGAAGGAAGGUGUUUCUCGGCGAGGUCCUUUUCCCGCUGGAUGGCUGGAGAUUUGAGGACAAAGACUCCCAGUGCUUCAACUGGUACCCACUUUGUCCGAAGGCUGAGAGUUCGGAGGGCGGCGCUGUGGAGCCGGACGGAGAAGUGCUGGUCCGAGUCAAGUUUAACAGCCAGGGUGUCUGACUCUAGGAGCAGGAAGAGAUGUCGUCCACAGGACGCCCUUCUCUGAGGGUGAGAGUGGGCUCAUGCUGGCUCUCUGAAGGCGGAGCUGUGGCCCCUCCUGCCCCUCUGAGGGGCUCUAACAGACCCUGGGUCACCGUGGCAACCGGCGUUGGGAAGCCCAACAGGUGGAGCGGCGUCAGCCUCCACGUGUCUCGCCAACGUCAGGAGGAACAUGACGACAACAGGCUCGGCACUUUAAGACGUUCACAGUUCAGUGUUUAUAAGAUCUGCGAGAUGUAUUCCGUUAACAAAGCGUGCACACGAGUGAAGGAAAUGUUUUUAAUGUAUUUAAAUCUGGAGCUUGAGCUUCCCUCUUCUUAAAGUCACUAUAAGUAUGCUGAAACAUUAAAUACCCCCAUAUUAAAAUAGUUUUAUUUAUCGCUGCUAUAGUAUCUAUCUGCACAGAAUACGACAGCCUCUGUUCUUCUCAACAGAUAAGAAAGAAACUCCCCAAACCUCAUGACAGUAUGUCAUUAAGCAAACAUAUUUCUGGUUGCAUGGCAAGUCGCAGGAAGUGCGUUCUGUCAUCAAUGCUCAACCUCUCAGCAGUUUAAUGUGGAAGAAAGAUGGAAAAGAUAUAUUUUGUUAUAUAUGUGCACUUUUCAUAUGCAGCCCUGAAUCAUAUGCAUCAUAACAAAUGAGAAUUCCUGCUAUAUUAUGCCAUAAUGUACUUUU